GAUCUGGCUUCCCAACCCACAUUCAGGAUUGAGCCUCUGGGAGAUGCUGAGGGUGUGUCUGCAGGGAGGACUUUUCCUGCUCCUUUGGUGGAUGUUGCACGCAAGCCCAGCUCCCAUCGCAGGGGUCCUCCAGUGGGAAAGAACAAAGCUAAAGGACACAAGAAAGCCCAGGAACCAUCCAAACGCAUGGGACAGCUGUUGAGGGAAAUGGAACAGGCAGGACAAGAUAACCCUGUUGGUGAAAGCGAUCUGGCUUCCCAACCCACAUUCAGGAUUGAGCCUCUGGGAGAUGCUGAGGGUGUGUCUGCAGGGAGGACUUUUCCUGCUCCUUUGGUGGAUGUUGCACGCAAGCCCAGCUCCCAUCGCAGGGGUGAGUAGUGUGUCCCUGCUGAGCCCACAGGCUGAGCCCUGGUUUUGUGGGAUCCAUUCCUGGGAAAUGGAACUCUGUUGC